GUCUAUGGCCUUACCACGCUGAAUGUGCCGGAUCUCAUCUGCUCUCAGAGGCUAAGCAGGGUCAGGCCUGGUUCAUACUUGGAUGAGAGAAAUGUAAAUUAAAAUACCCUUCGGUGUUAAUAAGCA
rnacentral:rRNA from 1 species